CUGGAGACCAGCUGAUGGCCGCGGAGCCCACUCAAUAUCUGCAUCAGCCAGGCCCCUGGCCCCAGAGCUGGCCGUUAAAGCACUGUCUCCAGUCCCGGCUUUAAACAGGAGGAAGGGAGCUGGACUGCCCAAAACAUUACUGGGCUUUAAGUCCACGAACCUUCGAGCUUUUCAAGUGUCUUACUGUGGCCCUGCACCCAUCAAACAGAAAGACUGGGUUUCCACUCCUGCUGUCCGGAAACCGCUGCGCGGCUUUGGAACCUGGCUCGGCUCGCCUCACUGCGCUUUGGAACCCGAAACCGGAGUGUCUUGAGUGCAAGCCCUGCCCCUUUAAAAGUGAAACCCAGGUGGUUGGCUACUCCGUGUCCAGUCGGGCAAUCCCACUCCAAAGCAUCACGGGUUUGUUUUCCCGCAUCUGCCAGCAGAGAUGUUACAGAAAGGCAAGACUGGUCAGUCGCCCAAGCACUCAGGAGGCUGAGGCUGGGAGGUCAUGAGUUACAGCAGGACAACC